GUUUAACCUAUUUGACAAAUUUUAAAUUACUUUAGAUGAACAGAAAUCUCUCGGGUGGUAGCAAAACCAAGACAGGAAUAAAGUGAACUCUGUCAAACUAUGUAGUCCCUCAUAAUAUCAGAAAUUUUACAAAGGGAUCUAGAAUUUCAAUUAAAGUCUAAAUAAAAACUAUUUGAAGUAAACCAAUGGAUGGCAAAAAAACACAGGUCCACAGUCAACUUCACUCAAAAUUUAACACUAAAGCAAAGGGAUCUGCAAUCUGGUCAUCAAAAUUUAAUCUAUAGCCUUCUAGUUGGAAAAUGGAAAACAGAUGAGACGAACAGCCGAAUGAGGACAUUUUGGCAGGAGUGCAGGACAGCAGUCAAGCCACACAUGUGACCAGAUGAUUUGGCCAAGUGGAAACAGGCUAAAUGAACUGUAAAUCCACACAUCAAUGUUAAACAUACAGAAAACUUAAACGAUCAAAACAAGAAUUACCUUUUUUAUUUUCAUCAAAAUAUUUGAGAAUGAACAAUCAUCGACAUCCUGUUCUGUCUUGCUCCA